rnacentral:rRNA from 1 species
CACGUAGGGUGCGAGCGUUGUCCGGAAUUAUUGGGCGUAAAGAGCUCGUAGGCGGUGUGUCGCGUCGGCCGUGAAAACCUGCAGCUUAACUGUGGGCUUGCGGUCGAUACGGGCAUCACUGGAGUUCGGUAGGGGAGUGGGGAAUUCCUAGUGUAGCGGUGAAAUGCGCAGAUAUUAGGAGGAACACCGGUGGCGAAGGCGCCACUCUGGGCCGAAACUGACGCUGAGGAGCGAAAGCAUGGGUAGCAAACAGG